GACGAACGCUGGCGGCGUGCCUAAUACAUGCAAGUCGAGCGAAUCUUGAGGUGCUUGCACCUCUUGGUUAGCGGCGGACGGGUGAGUAACACGUGGGCAGCCUGCCUGUAAGACUGGGAUAACUUCGGGAAACCGGAGCUAAUACCGGAUAAUCCUUUUCCUUUCAUGAGGAAAAGCUGAAAGUCGGUUUUUCGCUGACACUUACAGAUGGGCCCGCGGCGCAUUAGCUAGUUGGUGAGGUAACGGCUCACCAAGGCGACGAUGCGUAGCCGACCUGAGAGGGUGAUCGGCCACACUGGGACUGAGACACGGCCCAGACUCCUACGGGGGGCAGCAGUAGGGAAUCUUCCGCAAUGGACGAAAGUCUGACGGAGCAACGCCGCGUGAGCGAUGAAGGCCUUCGGGUCGUAAAGCUCUGUUGUUAGGGAAGAACAAGUAUCGGAGUAACUGCCGGUACCUUGACGGUACCUAACCAGAAAGCCACGGCUAACUACGUGCCAGCCGCCGCGGUAA
rnacentral:rRNA from 1 species